rnacentral:rRNA from 1 species
AACGAACGCUGGCGGCAGGCCUAACACAUGCAAGUCGAACGCUGUAGCAAUACAGAGUGGCAGACGGGUGAGUAACGCGUGGGAACAUGCCCUUCGGUUCGGAAUAACUCAGGGAAACUUGAGCUAAUACCGGAUACGCCCUUAGGGGGAAAGAUUUAUUGCCGAAGGAUUGGCCCGCGUUCGAUUAGCUAGUUGGUGAGGUAACGGCUCACCAAGGGGACGAUCGGUAGCUGGUAUGAGAGGAUGAUCAGCCACACUGGGAGUAGGACACGGCCCAGCCUCCUACGGGAGGCAGCAGUGGGGAAUAUUGGACAAUGGGCGCAAGCUUGAUCCAGCCAUGCCGCGUGAGUGAUGAAGGCCCUAGGGUUGUAAAGCUCUUUCGCCAGGGACGAUAAUGACGGUACCUGGAUAAGAAGCCCCGGCUAACUUCGUGCCAGCCGCCGCGGUAAAAC